rnacentral:rRNA from 1 species
CGUUAGCGGCGGACGGGUGAGUAACACGUGGGUAACCUACCUAUAAGACUGGGAUAACUUCGGGAAACCGGAGCUAAUACCGGAUAAUAUUUCGAACCGCAUGGCUCGAUAGUGAAAGAUGGUUUUGCUAUCACUUAUAGAUGGACCCGCGCCGUAUUAGCUAGUUGGUAAGGUAACGGCUUACCAAGGCGACGAUACGUAGCCGACCUGAGAGGGUGAUCGGCCACACUGGAACUGAGACACGGUCCAG